AACCUUUACAAUGCACGAAAGUGUGAUAAGGGGAUUCCACGUGCAAGCUAUGCUUGCUUUUCUCAAGUUUAAAAUCCUUGGGGAAUAAGGGCUGGGCAAGACCCGUGCCAGCCGCCGCGGUAAUACGGGCAGCUCUAGUGGCGUUCGCGAAUAUUGGGCCUAAAGCGUGCGUAGCCUGUUAAACAAGUUCUUGGUGAAAGCUUGCGACUUAAUCGUGAGAAUGGCCAGGAAAACUGUUUGACUUGGGACCGGAAGAGGUCGGAGGUAUUCCAGGGGUAGGGGUAAAAUCCUGUAAUCCUUGGAGGACCAUCGGUGGCGAAGGCGUCCGACUGGGACGGGUCCGACGGUGAGGCACGAAAGCUAGGGGAGCGACCCGGAUUAGAUACCCGGUUAGUCCUAGCCGUAAAUGAUGUCUGUUUGGUAUUGCUGGGCUUACGAGGCCUCGCAGUGCCGUAGGGAAGCCGUUAAACAGACCGCCUGGGAGUACGCCGCAAGGCU
rnacentral:rRNA from 1 species